AGAAAGUGGCCUUCUUUAGAGGAUAAGGUUGUUAGUUGGCAUCAGUACAGGCUGUUCUCAAGCCAAGGACAAGUUGAAAUCAGGACAUUUACAUGGCCAAGAUAAACAUGUCGGACCAGCAACACAGCACGUACUCAGGCGCAGUGUAAACACAUCAUCAAUAUGGCUGCAGGAACCAGCAGCAGGGUUCUCCAGUGUUUGCAGUGCAAAAAACAGGAUUAGAGGAGAUGGAUGGACAUUGAAACUAGAGGGGCUGGUAUUGACCCCUGGAGGACUCCUGCUGAACGUCGACAUCUGAACGCAGUUCCUCUAGGUAUUGACUGAGAUGCCCUCUGUUCCUGGACACAACACUUAUUACCCUUAUUACCUGUCCGCUCAGUAGACUGCAUGCCUACUGCCUUGACUGCUGUAGUUCCUGCAGUCAAAUGACCAAAUUGCCCUCUAGUGGCCUCAUGGGUGGAAUGUUAUUCAUAUUUUUCAGAAUUUCCUCGUUAAUAAACAUUUU